GCCUCUGUAGCUCAGUUGGUUAGAGCGCUGCACCGAAAUUGCAGGACCACAGGUUCGAUUCCAGCCUGCAGAAGGCC